CUCACAUGAGAAACUAAGAUAGUGCUACUUUGCAGAAAUAACACGCGCGCGGGGGCACACAGAGAGAGUUUAAAGUAGCGAACCGCUCCAAUACUCCUUACUGGAGUAAUCAACUUCGCGCUGCCGUGCGCAUCGCCGUACACAUUUGUUUGGUUUAGAAUUACAUAUCUGUGCGUACAAGCCUCUCUUGUAACUCUCCAGUCCAAAUAGUCAUGUGUGCAAGUAAUUCUGAGGGAUGUGAGUACCUUCUCCUGGCUGUGAUGGGUGAAUUGUCAACCGUGCGGUGUGAUUGUGUGGUUGGUCUUUGGUUGUAGGUACACGGGCGUCGAGUGUCGACGGAGAGCUGCCGUGGAGUGCUGUGGCCGAUGGACCGUGCGGUGGACGGCGGUGAAGGGCAGCCGGGACCAGAGCUCGGGCCGGGCAGCAGCUGUGGUGUCCACUCUUGAAUCGAGGGCGCAAGCACCGGUGGAUGGUGGGUUUCUUGGUUUGCGCCACAAAACCAAGGUGGCGGACGGCGAUUGAGGACGUCAAGUCGUGGAGGCACGGGCGUCGGUCUCGGGGCUGACGGAGGAACGGGCGUCGACGGCGUCUAGGGCUUCGCUGCGGGCGAGGAGGUGACGGGCGUCGGGCGGCGUCUAGGGCCGUUAGAAGGCCGAGGCUGGCCCUGGUUGUAUCCAAUCACGCCACCUCCCUCGAGCUCGUCCAACACGCCGCCUCCGUCAGGGCUCCCGCCGGCGUCCAACAAGCCGCCUCCCUGGGGGCUCUCGCCGGCCUUCUGCAGCACGCACGCCGCAGUCCGGGCUCCCGCCGGCCUCCUCCAGCACGACGCUUCCCUCAGAGCUCCAGCCUCCUCAGGACUUCCGCAGAGGUGACUAGGCCUACCCUGAGUUUAGAUCCUGGGUCCGCCACUGCAACAUGAGGCUCAACAAGGUGGAAGUGAAUCUUAAAGUAACGGCUGCUGGAAGCGGCUCCUCGGCAGCAGAAUCAGGCUAAGCUUCUCCAUGUAUGCAAGCACAGUUAACACAGAUUUCUUAGUAUGUAACUACAGCCAGGGAACUUUUGGAGCAGCUAGGGGCAGAAACCACACCGGAAGGAAUAUCAAGUUAUGCUUUCUGCAAUGGCAUCUCAUUGAGAACUUUUUGGAACACUUCAGUGAUAAGCCGGCUGCAUGUGACCCAGUUAAUGUUUGUUGAGAAUCCAUAAUUUUAGGGGGAAAUGGAAAAACCAGCUGAUAGCACCAAACAAAAACAUCAAAAUUUGUUGUGUGUGUAAAACAUUUUAUAUAGGUCUCAACAUCGGUCUUGUGGGUGCAUCAUUAUCACUACCAUUUUUUUUAACAUCUGCCUUAGAAUCUCUGGGUAGUACUGGCUACGAGUUAAUGACUACAGUCCUGCCAUUUUUCUUUGUCUGACAGUGUAUUCCAAUAUUUUGUUGAGACUUUCUAAUGCAUUUAGAUUAUGAUACUACAAGGUGGC